GAUGAAGAACGCAGCGAAAUGCGAUACGUAAUGUGAAUUGCAGAAUUCAGUGAAUCAUCGAAUCUUUGAACACAUAUUGCGCUCUCUGGUAUUCCGGAGAGCAUGCUUGUUUGAGUAUCAGUAAACACCUCAACUCCCCUUUCUUUUUUUGAAAUGGGAGCUGGACUUGAGUGAUCCCAACGCUUUUCUCACCGAAAAGUGGCGGGUUACUUGAAAUGCAGGUGCAGCUGGACUUUUCUCUGAGCUAAAAGCAUAUCUAUUUAGUCUGCCUAAAAAACAGAUUAUUACCUUUGCUGCAGCUAACAUAAAGGAGAUUAGUUCUUGUGCUGACUGAUGCAGGAUUCACAGAGACAGCUUCGGCUGGCCUUUGUAAACUCGAUCUCAAAUCAAGUAAGACUACCCGCUGAACUUAAGCAUAUCAAUAAGCGGAGGA
rnacentral:misc_RNA from 1 species